ACAGUAUUUUCUAAAGGUCAUCAAGCACUACAUCGUGCAGGUGUGACGGUAUGAAGGAGUGUGAACUAAACAUCAACGUUUUCUAUACCUCUGAUCCCUGCUAUGGCAUCUACAAAUACCUGGAAACCACCUAUACCUGCCUCCCUGAAGUUCACCUUGUUGCCUGUGAGGGCUCUUUGGCGCAACUCCAGUGUGGUAAUAUUUCUUUUUUGCAUUCAUGGUGAAUUGAUGUGAUGAACAUCAGAC